rnacentral:tRNA from 1 species
GCCGCCAUGGUGAAAUUGGUAGACACGCUGCUCUUAGGAAGCAGUGCUCAAGCAUCUCGGUUCGAAUCCGAGCGGCGGCA